AAAUCUAUUUUGGAUUGAGAUUCCAAUUUGCCCCAAUUCAUUCGAAUACCCAACAACGUUCUUUUUCCUCUUCAAGGAAAAUUCCACGCGCCUCCUCCCCGACAAAACUUGACCCUGCUACUGUGAUUUCUGUUUCAUCACAUGGAUUCCAACGAACUAAUUUUGAUUUAAGUUUGAAUAAAUCUCAAUCUGCCUAUAAAUGCUCCUACCUGACAAGAAUGAAAAAAAAAAAAGAAGGAGAAUGGGGGAGAAACUUUCGGAGAAGAGGAGGCAUCUGGUCUCUUGAGUUCUGAUCUUGGUUCAUUUCUUUGGGUUGGGGUUCGAAGAUUGCUACUUAUUGGGGAUUUCCCCUUCUUCUAAAUUUUAUUUUUUUUUGGAAACCCCUUUAAAUAUGAAGUUUUGGGUUCACUAGUCUUGGCCGAUGUCAUGUUCCAUUCUGUUUGAGACAGUGAUGAGAAUAUAUAUAAAAAAAAAAAUGUCAAGGCAAGGGAGCUAAAGUAAUCCCAUCUCGGCGAGGCAACUUUGGAUGGCCAGAGAUAAUUGCGCAACUAGUUCGCAGCCAUUGGGACACCAUCAUUUCCCUUGUUAGGCCACCAUAUGGUAUUCCUGAGCCUCAACAUUUCACUACUGCUACUAUUACAGACUCAGCUUUGCAAAUUGACACCACCAGCCACGGUGGACAAGAAUACUAUUCAUCCUAGAAGGAGCAAGCGCGUGACAAUUCCCUCUAAAAGGUUGGCAGAUUUCAUUGUCAAACCUGGAUGACAAAAAGGUGACUAGCAAGUGGUGCAAGGAAAAGUAUAAUGAAUGGAAGUUUGUUAUAAGUAGCAGGGAGUAGGCAUAGUAAGAGCAUGCUAUUUUUAUGUGAAGUUAUCUAUCUUCUCAUCUCUUAUCUUCUUCUGUAUCCCAUCUCUUCUUCUUUUUAUUUGUUCUUCCAUAUUAGUUCAGUUGUUAAUCUCUUGUAAUUCCAAUUAGUGAUUGCAAUACUAGUGUUUCCUUGGUUA